CUCGGGAGUGGGCGGAGCUGAGUCGUAUUAGGUUGGUCCUCGCUCCUUUUCCCCACCGGUCCUUAUGACGCUCCAGCACCUCCGUGUGCAGUCACUCAGCCACUCGCUGGGAGAUACUGCAGGUCGUCCCGAGUGCAGCCUUGACUUGCAGGACCAUGCAACUCAACAGAUGAACGUUGCAACUUCACCUUUUAAGUCUUGUUCCAAUCGUUCGUUUUCUCUUAUCAAGGAUUGGAUGGUAUAUCCGUCCCUCCGCAUCCGUUUUGAAGAAGAGAAACGCAGUAAAGCUUUUGGCAGUGAAAAUGGAUACUCUUAAACCACCACAGCCAAGGAUUAAUUUAACCCUUUCCUGUCUUAUCCAAGGCACUGACAUCUCCCAAGGAUUGCCAAGCAAUAAUGCCUGGGGUACUGACCAGAUCAGCAGAAAGCAAGUCUGGAAGUCCAAGGACCGCAAGAAGCAUUUGGAGGCACCUUCCGAGUGGAGGCAGUGAGGAUGUGAACCAAAUCCGUUUGUGAUGGGAUGGAGGUCUAUGGCAAGGCAGAAACAUCUUGGAAGAGGAAUUGACAGAGGAAGGCUGCUCACCUCACGUAGCCAGGAAGCAUCAGAACAAGACAAAGGAGUUAGUAACAAGGCAUUUCUCCAAAGGCAUGCCCCCUGAUCCACUUCCUUCAAAUGGGUACCACAUUCUGGCUUCCUACACUUCCCAAUAAUUAUAUCAUCAUAUGAAUCCACUGAUCAACUGAUCUGCUUGCUGAUCUAUUGAUAGCUC